GAAAAAUAAAUGCCCUUCAGUUUUUGUUUGUUUUCUUUUAUUUCAUUUUUGAGGAUCUCAAAAGCAGUGCUUCUGGAGUUUAAUAUGUAUACACAUCACCUGGGGAUCUUGUUAAACUGUGAAUUCUGAAUCUAAUCCUUUAGGUUUACGGCCUGAGAGUCUACCUUUCUCUAACAAGCAUGUAGGAACUGAACUUUGAGGAUCAAGGUCCAGGGUACUGACAGGGGCAACAAAAGGAAACUACACAUCAGCCCACCGCAUCCAGAUUNNNNNGGGUUUAACUUUAACUUGGGCAAACUCCGAGACAUGGUGAGGGACAGGGAGGCCUGGCAUGCUGCAGUCCAUGGGGUGGCAUAGUCAGACACGACUUAGCAACUAAACAACCUCACCUGCCCCUGCCAAACAGCCUGUGUGUUCUGCACAUGCUCACACACAUACACACACAGCACAAGUUACAUAAAUUCUCACAGAUGAUGGGAGUCUGGUCAUCUGGGCAUUCAUGCCUCAGGGGACUAAAGUCUAGAAACACCACCCAGGGCAAGACCAGAGGCAGUAUACACAGACAUGGCCAAUGGCGGCUCAGUACAACGGGCUCAUGUGAGGCAACUGGAGAGAAACUGGGGGCCUCCAGCCUAGGUGUCACUCUCACUCGUGCCACUCCAGGUAACUCGGCCUCUGUGUGGGGCCGUGUCCCUCCUGGCACAGGGCCCCUGUGGCAGUGUGCCGGUUGGUCACCUGCACCACUGACUCCCAUCCAGCAGGGCGCUGACACCAGCGCGCACGCGCAGCGUGUGCAGGACCGGAGGGACCCCCUUCACAUCGUCUUCACAUCACUGACCCCAGCCUCCCGUACUUCCAGGGGGCUUCCUCAAACACCCACAGUGCAGUUGUCCCCCAGGUUCAUGAGAUGGGGGAACCCCGGGCUGCUUCAGUUCCCUGUAGUCGCAGUGCUAGGGCUCAUAGCUGUGGCUUCCAGGCUCAGGUGCCCCGUGACACGUGGGGUCUUCCCAGAGUAG
rnacentral:lncRNA from 1 species